rnacentral:rRNA from 1 species
AAUACGUAGGGUGCAAGCGUUGUCCGGAAUUAUUGGGCGUAAAGAGCUCGUAGGCGGUCUGUUGCGUCGGCUGUGAAAACCCGGGGCUCAACUCCGGGCCUGCAGUCGAUACGGGCAGACUAGAGUUCGGCAGGGGAGACUGGAAUUCCUGGUGUAGCGGUGAAAUGCGCAGAUAUCAGGAGGAACACCGGUGGCGAAGGCGGGUCUCUGGGCCGAUACUGACGCUGAGGAGCGAAAGCGUGGGGAGCGAACAGGA